GCACUCUUGAAUAUCUUUUCUCUAUACAAGGGCAUAAGAAAGCCUUAUACACCAUGUUUUUCAAAAUACAGUUUUUUUUUUCCUGCUCCUUAUGCAUUCAAAAGCAAGCCCAGCAGAAACAAUACCCUUUUGCUUUACUACCCGAAAGAGGAAGGGCAAUGAGUUGGCUUUAGGAGCUGGGGCAAUCAUCCAACGCAGGAACUGACAAAAGCUGGAAACAUCUGGGCACUCUCCAGCUUCUAAACCUGCAGCUGCAGGAUCUAAAUACUUCAGCGGUGAAUACCUCCUCCUGGAAAAUCCCUGUUGCAUAAAUGGAAAAUUAAUGCACAGAGCGUCAGGGUGUCACAGCAGUAAUUUCCCUGAGAGCAAAUCCUUUGACUGCUUCUACUGCACGUCCCAAUAACAUGCACGCUGCUCUUAUCCUCAGAUGCUGGGUGUUUCCUCAAGAAUGAUAUUUACCAUGCUGUUUGUAGCAGGCAGCAGUGCUUAAAAAAAGAAUUCUGGAAAAAUCACUGUGUAAAGCAAGGAACGUUUUUCUGUGUGUCCCCUGCUACGUCCUGCUGUGGUUGCUGAGCAUUUAAGCUAAAUCUGUCAAGUCUAAAAAAACAUGGAAUGCUGAUGAGAAAUCAACUCUUACAAUUUGAAUAUUCUGGAUAAGAUUAAUAACUGUAGAAAACUAAGACAUAAAAACGGGGCCCUUAACCUUAACUGAAACACCAGGAUGCAGCACAGAACAGCUGUUGUAACUAUAUUUCUCAGGUUAAGCCUGGUACUGCUUUCUGAAUGGUCAAUUCAGAUAUCUGUGUGGAUGCAAAUGGCGCUGUAUGGUUAUUGAAUUAAGUACAAGCACAGCCAUCAGGAGUUUGCAGCCCUUUUUUAAUAGUGAACCCUCCGUGAAGAUUAUAAUUGAUUAGUUACAUUCAUGGAUCACCCAGGCACUAUAGUAUCCCUCAAAGCUAGUCUCUGUUUGCAAAGUGCAAACCCACAGUAUACUGGCACAAGACACUUUCCCUCGAAACCAACCCCAGGUUGGCUUGAAAACCUCCACCAAGGAAACCUCCUCUCCCACUCUCUCCUCUGGGGCUGUCUGGGGAAAGCUCCAGUUGAAUGUUUUCUGAAGGCAGCUUCACAAGGAAAGGUGGGAGGUCCCAUGAAGGGGAAAUCCCACCAGGAGCUGGGACUGCUGCCCCAAACAUACCAACACUCUGCUCUCAUCCUGUAGGACACACAGCACUGGGUGUCCUGGCAUCUACCCUAUUGCCACACAGCAGUGAUCUGAGCAGCAAGACCUAAUUACAAAUAACUAGAUGUUUCUAAAGGGUAGCAAGAGAAUAGAAUAUAAGAAAAACCACCUCGACCAUGAAUGUUUUCCAGUGAUGUGGAAAAUGAUUGCAAAGUGUAAAGUCCAUUUUGAGCUCUUCAUUGAGAUAGAUAAAAUAU
ensembl:lncRNA